GUUACGCUUAGGCGGGACGAUCUCUCUCCUCUCGCGCCGAGGGGGAUUCGUCGAGAUCAUAGUUGGUUGGCGCCUUCCGAUCGCGAGUCCCUUGCUCUCCGGUAUUUUUCUUCGCCGGCGUCGAGUCAAUUCUCCCGUUUCCGCUGAUUUCUCCGGAGCCGAUGACUGCGUCCUGGAUCUCUUUCGGCACAGUUCUGACAUCGCCUCUCAGAUCAUUGAGAGACGUCGGAAUCGGCCGUCCGUCUCGUAAAUUCCCCUUGUAUUGGAUCAUUGCAUCGCAAUCCCCGCUUGAAUCGUUCGGCGUGGAUUCUGACGGGAUCCCCGGCCUUCGUCCGGCGAUUCCGGACGGAUGAUUUUGCCUCUUGCUUCAUCCUCAGGAACUAUUCUCACUCUCGAUUCCGACGUUUGAAUGUACCGCCAUCUCGUCCGACCGAAGGAAGGGAAACAGGAAGAACAAGAAGAUGCAUCCGAUCUAUACGCUCCGAAAAUUAAUGUUGAUCUAUAUAUAUAUAAUGCAGCGGUCGAUUGCGUCUCUCAGAUGGUGGCAGUGGUGGUGCCGGCGUCGGCGGCCUCUCCGAGGGCAAGAGGAAGAUCCAGGCGCUGACGAUAUAAUCGCCGCCACGAGCCCUGUUCUUCCCCCCCUUCGGCUGUGAACAAGGAUGCAAGAAGAAGCAAUGCCGUGCCGUCCGACACGAUUAGGGUAAAUCGGCCGGCCAUAAUAACGUAUAUGCAUGAUCUAUGAUGCAGGGUAGAUCGGCCAGCCAGCCAUGAUGUCGCGUUGACCGGUGCGAUUUGGGGACAGGCGGAAUCUGCUGGCAACGCCCCGCCGCAGAAUGUAGCCGUUGCUUCUGAUCGCCUGCCACCGC
rnacentral:lncRNA from 1 species